AUUGAACGCUGGCGGCAGGCUUAACACAUGCAAGUCGAGCGGAGAUGAGGUGCUUGCACCUUAUCUUAGCGGCGGACGGGUGAGUAAUGCUUAGGAAUCUGCCUAUUAGUGGGGGACAACAUUCCGAAAGGAAUGCUAAUACCGCAUACGUCCUACGGGAGAAAGCAGGGGAUCUUCGGACCUUGCGCUAAUAGAUGAGCCUAAGUCGGAUUAGCUAGUUGGUGGGGUAAAGGCCUACCAAGGCGACGAUCUGUAGCGGGGCUGAGAGGAUGAUCCGCCACACUGGGACUGGGACACGGCCCAGACUCCUACGGGAGGCAGCAGUGGGGAAUAUUGGACAAUGGGGGGAACCCUGAUCCAGCCAUGCCGCGUGUGUGAAGAAGGCCUUAUGGUUGUAAAGCACUUUAAGCGAGGAGGAGGCUACUGAGACUAAUACCCUUGGAUAGUGGACGUUACUCGCAGAAUAAGCACCGGCUAACUCUGUGCCAGCCGCCGCCGUAAUAC
rnacentral:rRNA from 1 species